AAGGCUGGCAGGGGUGAAGUGGGGGAGAAUGUGUCCCCUGUUUAUGCAGGGAGGAGUGUGACAGCGGGUGGGGCAGCCGCAGGAGAGAUGACGACAAACCGAUCUGUGGUCUGAAGGAGGACUGUGGGCGUCUUCAGUGAUGGCCAAGCUUGGACACUGUGCCCUUCUGAGCAUAGCCUCUCAUUCCUGCCCCUUUGCAGGUGGGCCGGGCUGAGUAAUUUGCUUUAAUGACCAGGAUGGGGUGCACGUGACAGUGUGUGAUUCUGGGCUAGAUGGUGACAGGCGCUGUGGCUUCCGCCUCACUGCCUCACUCUCGUGGAUGGAUCACUCAGCGGGGGACCGACUGCCACACCCCCAGGACGCUCAGGCGGCCCUGUGGGAGGCCCCCGCACACAGGAACCAACUGGCACAGCCACGUGAGCGAGCUGCCGUGGAAGCAGACUCUCCACCCUCAGUCAAGCUUCGGAUGUUUCAGGCUCCAGCGUAGAGUUCCCGGUGUGAUGGCAGCUGAUGUGACUAUUAAUCACUGGAACUCAACGAGUGCCAUGGUAGGGCCAGGACAGUGAGAAGGCAGCUGUCUGCAGCCAAGAAGAGAGCCACUGAAUCAGCCAACACCUUGAUCUUGGGCUUGUAGCCUCCAGAACUGGGAGCAAGUAAAUUGAUGCCGUUGAAGCCACCCAGUCUGUGGUAUUUUGUCAAGAUGGCCUGAACGCCUAAGGCAUCAUGAAAUUAGCCCGCUCUCUAAGGAGUCCUAUUCGUUUUUACUUGAGAAUGGAAUUUAGACUGUCCUGUGUGUGUGCUGCAGGUGAGGCCUUGCUGCUUUCUCAGGGGGCAGAGUGGAGAAAACAGGUCCAUGCUCACAUGCACACAGGUGUGUGCUCACGCAUUUAAGACACAGCUGCUGCUUCUCUAUCAACUGUCUUAUUUUGAAAACCACAGAUGCACACCAGCACCUCCAAUUCCAGUCUCAAAGCACAGUGUUCAUUUCCGUCUGCCCCUUUUCCUAUUUGUAACUCCUGUCUCCAGCAGCGAGAAGCUAGCACGUUAUUCUGAAUAGUGACUUACUUGCUUGAUCCAUUUCCUUGUUUGUUGCCAUCUCCCAUUGCUGCGCCCCCGUCAGGCUUUCUGACUUGAAACCUGCUGCAGCUGCCCUCUGUGGGAUGGGCGCUUCACCAUGGCCAGGCUCUGCAACUCCUCACUCCUACACCAAAACUGUCCUACCCUUUCACACUCUGAUGUCCCCAGCCCCUUGUGAACAUCCUUCUCCCUCCUCUACAGCCCCAACACCCUGCUCCUGGUCACCUCCAUAUGCAAAUGCCCUUAGUCCUGCUCAGAGUCCGCCACCUGUGCUGGGCUGUCUCAGCACGGAAGAACAUAGACUGGGGGAUUUACCAGCAGACAUUCAUUUCUCACCGUUCCAGAGCCUGUGGAGCCCAAGACCACGGCACCUGCAGAUCGGUGUCCAGUGAGAGUGGCCUGGUGUGCAGGUGGCUGUCAUCUCACUGUGUCUUCAAGGCAGGCAGGAGGAAAGAUAAAGAGAGAGCAGAAGGGGAGUGGGAGAGACAGAUAGAUGAUAGACAAGAUAGAUAGGUAGAUAGGUAGGUAGAUAGACGAUAGAUAGAUAGAUAGAUAAAAAGAUCGAUAAUGCAUGGAUAGAUUUCUGUGUCCUCUUUUUAUAAGGUUGCUCACCCCAAUAAUGAGGUCUCCACCCUUAGGACCUAAUUAACUCCUCAGUGCCUCACUUCUGAACACCAUCACAUGGAGGAUCUAAGCUUCAACGUGUGAAUGAACCUGGGGCGGAUACAGCCAUUCAGUUCCUAGCACAGGCCCUACUCCCCUACUCUCGUGCAGAUUAUGUUCAGACAUAUGAAGCUCCGAACACUGGACCAAAUGAGGCUCUGACUCAAAAGUGAAUAAUGGGGUGGCCAAUGCUGUGGUGCAGCGGGAUAACACCCUAGCCUGAAGCACCGGCAUCCCAUAUGGGCGCCGGUUCGAGACGUGGCUGCUCCACUUCUGAUCCAGCUCUCUGCUGUGGCCUGGGAAAGCAGUGGAGGAUGGCCCAAGUGCUUGGGCCCUGCACCCUUGUGGGAUACCCAGAGAAAGCUCCUGACUGCUGGCUUCUGAUCGGCACAGCUCCGGCUGUUGCAGCCAAUUGGGGAGUGAACCAGCGGAUGGAAGACCUCUCUCUCUCUCUUUCUCUCUGCCUCUCCUCUCUCUGUGUAACUCUGACUUUCAAAUAAAUAAAUUGAUUUUAAAAAAGUGAAUGGUGGUAGAAAUCAGAAUCUACCUUUUGAUGAGUGGAGCUUUUGGUUUUCCAG